rnacentral:lncRNA from 1 species
GUUCCUGACCUUUGUAACUGGCGCAAAGCCUUCUCUUGGGUGCUCUCAACGUUCCAGGGACCUGGCUGUACAACACUUGUACCAGUCAAUCCUUUACAUUAACUUGAGUAAUAGAUGUUAGUGUCUGGCUCUGCCUCCCAAGAGUGAAGACAGGAAAGAUGAGCCUGUGUUCCAUUGCUGCACGUGGUGAGCCUUUGAACUGAGAGUGGCUGAGCGCAGAGUAACCCUGGUAGCACCCCUGGGCCACCUGAAACUGAUCGUGCUGUCUUCUUUGGAGUGGCUGCCCCUUUAAAAGAAGACUUAACCCGGGGGACUUUAUCUGGCUCUGUGAUUCAGCUGGAAAGAGACCUGAGCAAGGCCCGGGUAGGGUUGCAGAGCAAAGGGGCGGUUUGUCCUACAGCCUAAAGAAGACAGAACCAUGAUGAAGCGGCAUAGUUCGUCUGCGUAAUACCUGAGGUGCGUUGCCUCAUGCCAAGGAAAUCAAGGACAUGGACACGCAUGGAGUGAGGCCAUGUGACCUGCGUGCUCCCUGCCUUCACCUGCCGCCAUGAUUGGAAGCUUUCUGAGGCCGCCUUAGAAGCCAAGUAGAUGCCAACAUCAAGCCUCUAAUACAGCCUGCAGAACCGCUUGCCCUCUCUCACCUGCUGCCAUGUAAGAUGUGCCUGCUUCACCUUCCGCCAUGAUUGUCAGUUUCCUGAGGCCUCCCCAGCCAUGUGGAACUGCUUUUGUGAAGGAAGAGAAGGCCCCUGAACCAUCCAUGGACGGCAGUUAUCAAGUCUACAGAAACAUCAAAUGAAAGUUAUCUUACCAAGUGUUAUCAUCUCUACUCAAAAACUCUACUGGCAAGUAAAUCAGAAGAAAUGGGCUAAAAUUACAACAUGAAAAAUAUAAGUUAGGCAUGCAGGGAAGUUUCCUACCUUAGAGGGUUGGUACAUAUUGUUAAAUAUCUUGAGGUUAGUUGACAGCUUUUCCUUCCAAAUCUGUCUGUGGGGAGUGAUGAGGGAAGGAGAGAAAUGACUGACAUUUAUUGUUAAGAAGGAGCUGGAAGUCUCAUGCAUGGUAUCAUAUUAACAUCACAUAAGCCCAGCCAGGGAUGUAUUAAGAACCUUAUAUAUUCAGAAAAGAAUUCAGGAUUGUUUGAGUUGGAUACAUUAUCCCCCAAGGUAAUACUGUUAGGAAAUGGUGGGAUUGGCCUUAAACCUAGCCUCUGAUGUUCCACAUUAUCACAUUUUGAUUUUUAAGAUAUGCACCUGGAUUUGGAAAGUUUUAUUGGCUAUAGGACAAGCAGGGAGAUAGACAAAGUUAAUGCUCACAAAGUCCUUUUCAAUCCCAGACAUCUGUGAGUCUAUGAUAUGUAACAAAUUAUUUCCUCUGCAGACCCAAACCGUAGGCUACAUUGUACAUAUUUUUUCCUUGUUUUCAGCUGUCAGCUACUUGACUGCCCCUCAUGGCCACUUUUCAAGUCUUGAUUGCCAAGCAUUUAUUUUCUUUUUCCAGUUUGUCUGGAAGACAGAAUGCCUCAGGAAGGGAUUGUUGGGUUUUUCAUAUAAAGCACGUGAAAUAUCUGUAAUUAUGGAUUACAUUUUUGUACCCAAUAUAUGGCUGAAAGGAGUCCUGUGAUAGAAACUUUUAGAAGAUAAUUGAAUGUGUCAGCUGCAUCAAGAAAUUAUGUACUUGCUUCACUUCAACAAACUGUGAUAAAUAGUCUAUUGUCUGGAGAGUUUGCUUGGCAUUUUCUUUUGCGUUACAAAAUUGUGCUAGUCCUUGUCACUGAAUUUUUGGUUAACAACUCAUAGAAACCCUUUGAACUAGAAUUCAUCUGUAGAUACCAGUUACUGUGCAUAGCUACCUGGAAAACAACUGAUUUUAAUAAUUCAACACUUCAUUUCUACCAUUACCCCAGACAAAGAAUAUGUGUCUUUUUUACCAAAUUUACUUGGUUAAAAGUAGGAAAUGUCUUAUGCUGAGUGGCAAUUAGCAUUUCUCCAUCUGAAUAAUGAAGUGAGAGAAAAAGCAUUUAUUCUUUAUUCUUUAUGUUUCCAAUUGUGUCUUUGCGUAAUUGGCUUGGAACAGAAGUAUCUUAUUAAAAUGUACAAUCAAUAGCAGAAAUAGGAUUCCAAGAAGAAGAACAAAACAAAAUAUAGUUGAUAACUUCCUAUUAAACCUCAGCCUUAUAUAGUACGCCCUCACUAAGAAGAAUUAAGCUUGUUUAAAAAUAAAUAAAUCAUAAAAUAUUACUAGUAGAAAAUGGAAAUAAAUAGUGGCCAAAUCUAUACAUAAACUGGAGUGAUCAUUUUUUAAGCUCAAAAGGAGUAGAAGAAAUAACAGAGAGGGAGAUCAGUAGAUUUUUCACAUAGGAUUUCCCUCAAAAUUGCUUAACAGGCAAAUAAACCAGAGGGAAUACUUGCUUCAAAUAGGACAAAGAGUGGUAUCCUUAAUAGAAAAAGAACUCAUGCCAAAAGGUAAUAAAAGCAUUAAGUUCCCAAUAAACAAAGGGGAAAGGAAUGAAGACAAUGAAAUAGAGGCAUAUUAAUGGCUAAUAAACAUUUGAAAAUUUUUCAACCUCACUCAUUAUCAACAAAAUGGAAAUUAGAAUAACAACGAGAUACUAUUUUUAACCUAACAGAUUAAUAGAACUGUAAAAAAUGUGAAUAUUCAAUAUCGGAGAUUGAGUGCAGUGACACAGACACACUCAACACAGCUGGAAGAAAUAUAAAGUGGCUCCAGCCUUUAGGAAAGGAACGUGGCAUACAAUUCAAGAGUCUUGAAAAUAUUCUUACCCUUACCUGGGAAAUUCUCUUUCUGGGAUUCUAUUAAUGGAAAUGAUCUGAAAUGAAGAAGGACUUUUUUG